UCCAUGCAGGCCGUUUAGCCAAUACGAAAAAAGGAACAGAGUAUAUUAAAGAAUAAUAAUAGCCCAGUUCAAACUGUUCCUCCUAGACGUUCAGUAAAGCCUCUCAUAUUCUGAAUGUGUCCUCCUGGGGGAAGCCUAAACUAAACUAAAAAAGCUAUUUUCCUUUUCGUGAUGUUAUCAGACUUUGAUAGUUAUGUUCAUCUUUCCGAUCUUGCAAAGUAUUUCUCCUCAGAGGCUCAUAGUUCGAUGCCUCUUCGUUUUGAUGACCUAACA